GGUUGAUUUAACCGUUAAGCCCAAAUAUCAAAUUACCAGUGGGCAUAGAAAAACAAUUUGCUCUGACAGCUAUCUCAUUCAGGAGUGAAACGUAUGUUUUUGGCUGGAACAGUCCAUCUCCUGCCUCUGGAUUUCAGCUGGAAGCUAAGGGAGCUACACAAGUCCAGGGAGUUCUUCAGCUCUGGCAGAGCCGUAAGGACUUUCCUGUGGAGAAAUCACAGAGCAGCAACUGCACGUUUCCCCCUGCUCUUUAAAUAAGCCGUCCUCCAUUUUCUGGGAUCGUUCCCAAAUACAAUAUACUAUAAUUGUAUAUCUUUUUUUCCUGCAAAGGUAAUUCAUUUUAAAAUUCCUUGAAUGCUCCUUAAUUUUAAUAUCUUUUCAAA
rnacentral:lncRNA from 1 species